rnacentral:rRNA from 1 species
GUCGAACGCGAAAGUUCCGCAAGGAAUUAGUAGAGUGGCAAACGGGUGAGUAACACGUGGGUGACCUGCCUUCGAGUGGGGGAUAACGUCCCGAAAGGGACGCUAAUACCGCAUAAUAUCCUGCCUUUUAAGAGGUGGAAAUCAAAGCCGGGGAUCGCAAGACCUGGCGCUUGAAGAGGGGCCCGCGUCCGAUUAGCUAGUUGGUGAGGUAACGGCUCACCAAGGCGACGAUCGGUAGCCGGCCUAAGAGGGCGGACGGCUACACUGGGACUGAGACACGGCCCAGACUCCUACGGGAGGCAGCAGUGGGGAAUUGUUCGCAAUGGGCGCAAGCCUGACGACGCAACGCCGCGUGGAGGAUGAAGACCUUCGGGUCGUAAACUCCUUUCGAUCGAGACGAAUGGCCUUCGGGUUAAUAACCUGGGGGAGUGACGGUACCGAGAGAAGAAGCCCCGGCUAACUCCGUGCCAGCAGCCGCG